UUUUGGACAAUGGGCGAAAGCCUGAUCCAGCAAUGCCGCGUGCAGGAAGAAGGCCUUCGGGUUGUAAACUGCUUUUGCCCGGAACGAAAAGGCUCUUUCUAAUAAAGAGGGCCUAUGACGGUACCGUAAGAAUAAGCACCGGCUAACUACGUGCCAGCAGCCGCGGUAAUACGUAGGGUGCGAGCGUUAAUCGGAAUUACUGGGCGUAAAGCGUGCGCAGGCGGUUCUAUAAGACAGAUGUGAAAUCCCCGGGCUCAACCUGGGAAUGGCAUUUGUGACUGUAGAGCUAGAGUACGGUAGAGGGGGAUGGAAUUCCGCGUGUAGCAGUGAAAUGCGUAGAUAUGCGGAGGAACACCGAUGGCGAAGGCAAUCCCCGGACCUGUACUACGUCAGCGCGAAA
rnacentral:rRNA from 1 species